rnacentral:rRNA from 1 species
ACCGGGCCUCCUUUACGGGGCGAUUGUAUUUAUAGGCCGCGAAUUCUCCCUCCCUCCCUGAACUUAAGCAUAUCAAUAAGCGGAGGAAAAGAAACUAACAAGGAUUCCCCUACUAACUGCGAGUGAAGCGGGAAAAGCUCAAAUUUAAAAUCUGGUGGUCUUUGGCCAUCCGAGUUGUAAUUUAGAGAAGCGUCUUCCGCGCUGGACCAUGCAUAAGUCUCCUGGAAUGGAGCGUCAUACAGGGUGAGAAUCCCGUCUUUGGCAUGGACCCCCAGGGCUUCUGUGAUGCGCUCUCAAACAGUCAAGUUGUUUGGGAAUGCAGCUCAAAAUGGGUGGUGAACUCCAUCUAAAGCUAAAUAUUGGCGAGAGACCGAUAGCGAACAAGUACCGUGAGGGAAAGAUGAAAAGCACUUUGGAAAGAGAGUGAAACAGUACGUGAAAUUGUUGAAAGGGAAACGCUUGAAGUCAGUCGCGUCGACCGAGACUCAGCCUUGCCUUGGCUUGGUGUACUUCUCGGCUGACGGGUCAGCAUCAAUUUCGAUCCUUGGAUAAUGGCAAGGGAAAGGUAGCACCUUUAUAGGUGUGUUAUAGUCCUCUGUCGGAUGCAAGGGUUGGGAUUGAGGAACUCAGCAUGCACCUUGUCGGUGUCGGGGCCUUGGCCCACGUUUACAUGCUUAGGAUGCUGGCAUAAUGGCUUUAAACGACCCGUCUUGAAACACGG